rnacentral:lncRNA from 1 species
UUUUGGGCUUAAAUUGCGUUUUUGGAGCCCAAGAUGACCUCGGAUGGGUUUGUAGCCUUCUGGAGAAGUGUUUAGAAUAUUCCAAACAUUAAAUCCAGCUAUAUUGGGCCAGUUUUGAAGCAGCUUAUGGGUCCAAAAAGUGGCUGUUCAGAUUUUAGGCGAAUUUUACCAUUUAAUUUAGGGUUAUGUUUCCUAUUUUAUUUGAUUAUUAUUAUUAGUUUCCUAGUGGGAAUAAAGGACCUGUUUUUAGGGUUUGUGUGGGGGCUUAGCAGAUAUAUUGCUUGGCCGUCUACAAUUUUUUAGGAGGAGGCUUAUUUUUAUGAAAACUUUGGAGACAGAAAGAAUUGAGAGGGUUCUUGAAGAUUUUCUACUUUGAGGUGUUUUUAUUCUUAUUCAUUUUAAUGAUUUUUAUUAUGAGUAUAUGUAACUAAUUCUUUUGCUAGGGUUAGGCCAUGAACCUUAGUAAGAAUAUGUAGUUUUAUUAAUUUGCUUAUAAACGGAUGCAUGCUUGCUUUGAAUUAUUAAUCACUGCGGUUAAGACUAUCUAUAUAUUUUAAUGAUUGAUCACCAUUAGGGUAUUUAGACAAGUAAUUUGAUGCAAUUUUUGUUGGAACAUCACCUUGAAAUUGAGAAGGGCUUAUUGUGAUUAGUAAUUGUAAGUUCACUUAAGGCAAACAUUACGCUCUUAAGGGUUACAUGGUUUUUCAAAGGGUUUUCACAAAGUUUAAUGAGUCUUGCUUGUUUAUAUUUGAUCUGAACAUCAUAGACGGAUUGCAUGCUAGAUAUACGUUUUCGCUUGAACAUCACAAGGAAAAUAUGCAUUAGGAAAACCUAACCUUCAAAGCAUGGAUGUGGAAAUUCAUAAGUAAUUGAUAUAAUUGCAUAGGAUUGUGACGAUAAUGGCUAAACCCUAGUCUUUCCCUAAAUUGAUUUUAAUAAAAACAAACAAAAAACGUUUUUAUUUUUUUCUGUUUGCUGCCUUUAUUUUCUAACUUCUAGGUUUCUUUAAUUGUUAAUUCAAUAUUUUCAAACUCAAACAUCUCAAAUCUUUGAUAAAAAUCUGUUUUAAUGGUUAAUUAAGAGUUGAUUUAAUUACGAAUUAGUCAAACAAUCUUUGGGGACAACGACCUUGCAUGAGCAAUUAUACUACAAUUACCUUGUAUUCUUGCAAGUAUUUUCAGUGAUUUUAACCCUCUUGCGCAGGUAUAAAAAAUCAUAUCAAUAUACUUUUGAUUUUACAUUGAUACGUGGUAUGAUUUUUUUUAAACUAUACAGGUGUUAUAGCGAGGGGUUAUAACGAUUUAGAAGGUUUUUAUUAAAAUUUUAUUUCCAGGGCCACUCACUCUUGCUUUGUUUCCACCCUCCAGGUCUUUUUUAGCUGAGCCUUCUUAUCGACCAGGAUUCGUGGCAAAUUUUGGUAUUGGAGAUUACCUUCAAUGAUAUGAUUCUCAAUCCACUCUACUGUACUUUAAUUAUGUUCUGACAUCACGUGUAAAAUGGGUUCAUUUCCACUCACAGAGCACUCUCGUAUUUAGACACUUAUAGAUUUAAAUUUAUUCACAUUUUUUCCACAUCACUAUACUUUAUGGCUUCGUCACCCUCUUAGUGUUAGCCAGCACAACUCGAUUUGGAGUCCAAAUGAACUUUCUGGAUCGGGGGGUGUCACAUGGGUAUGGGUAACCACGGUUACCCGUCUAUUUAGAAUUUAUGGUUACGUUUAUGGGUAACCGUUUAUAUGAAUAAACGGUUAUGGGUAUAACCGUUUACCUGUGAAAUUUAAAUAAACAGUUAUUCGUAUUACC